rnacentral:rRNA from 1 species
AGGUCUUGACAUCCAUAGCCAGUCUAAGAGAUUAGAUGUUCCCUUCGGGGACUAUGAGACAGGUGGUGCAUGGCUGCCGUCAGCUCGUGUCGUGAGAUGUUGGGUUAAGUCCCGCAACGAGCGCAACCCUUGUCAUUAGUUGCCAGCAUUAAGUUGGGCACUCUAAUGAGACUGCCGGUGACAAACCGGAGGAAGGUGGGGAUGACGUCAAGUCAUCAUGCCCCUUAUGACCUGGGCUACACACGUGCUACAAUGGACGGUACAACGAGAAGCGACCCUGUGAAGGCAAGCGGAUCUCUGAAAGCCGUUCUCAGUUCGGAUUGCAGGCUGCAACUCGCCUGCAUGAAGCUGGAAUCGCUAGUAAUCGCAAAUCAGCACGUUGCGGUGAAUACGUUCCCGGGCC